ensembl:lncRNA
CCUGCCUUUAAAGUUGAGUAGGGGAGUGGAACUAGUUAUCACGGUUGAGGAGGACUCAUUAUGAAGCCAUCCCAUCUUGGAGCUCCAUGCCCUAGAAAUAAAGUGUUCCAGAAUAUGUCCUGAGCAUUGUUCAAACUGACAAGGAACUGGAAACGAAGUAACUGCCCUUCAACAGAGGAGUCAUUGAGUGAUGGGAGUGGACGUGCUGCCUAUGAGCCUCCUCUGGACCCCCGUCCAGCUGCCUUCUCCUUUCCUUCCGCUCUGCGUCUGUACCUGGAAACUUUUGGAUAUUUAUGGAGCAGUCUUUAAUUGUCUUGAUGAUUGGAGAAUAUACUGCAUCUGAUGCUGGGUGGGCUGGUAUCCAGCACAUACGUUGAACAAUGCAGCAUGAUGAUCCAGAUGACAUUUUGACAUCCAAUCUGCCCUUGACCUCAUCCCACCCCAGAAUUUCCAUUUUACUCCACAUGGCAUGCAACAAAACCCAAUGGGAGAAUCAGGAAGAAGCCAUUCAGAG